GGUUCUAAAGCAUCAGAGUCUUGUACUCUCAUCUCGUAUCUUGCACUUCUCAUUUUAUUUGAGAGGAUAAAAAUUUCCCAAAACAGCUUGUCUGAACACCUCCAUUCUCUACCAUGAACGAUCUGAAUCUACCAACAGCAACUUCCCAAAACCAUGUUGAUUUCGGUGAGUGAGGUUCUGAUGAAGGUAAAGGGGAAAGGAUAACAAAGAGUAUCAUCCUAUCCUUUUAUGGAAGAAAGAUAGAAAACAGAAGUUGAAAGGUGCAUGAUUGGACUAGAGCCCAUGCAUGCAGUCUGAUAGUUGUCCUAGUAGGCUGGCCAGUAGCGGAAAACCGCAUUACCGGCGUCAAUUGCGGCAGUGAAUCGACGGCAGCGCUUGCUGAUGACGUGGCUUCUAAAAACGAUGGCCACACACUCACUCACAUGCCUUCUUUCAAUUUCUCAAAACUUUUCAAUUCAAUCACUAUUUUAUUUUGGAUUAUAGUAACAGAUUAUGUGGGAGCUAUAUACCAACGAAGUUAUGCAAACAUUCUCAGGAGUAUACCAAUAAAUUAUCAUUGUAUGGAAAGCAAUUGUUUCAUUAA